CACGAACGCUGGCGGCAUGCCUAACACAUGCAAGUCGAACGAGACCUUCGGGUCUAGUGGCGCACGGGUGCGUAACGCGUGGGAACCUGCCUUUAGGUUCGGAAUAACUCAGAGAAAUUUGAGCUAAUACCGGAUGAUGUCUUCGGACCAAAGAUUUAUCGCCUUUAGAUGGGCCCGCGUUGGAUUAGCUAGUUGGUGGGGUAAAGGCCUACCAAGGCGACGAUCCAUAGCUGGUCUGAGAGGAUGAUCAGCCACACUGGGACUGAGACACGGCCCAGACUCCUACGGGAGGCAGCAGUGGGGAAUAUUGGACAAUGGGCGAAAGCCUGAUCCAGCAAUGCCGCGUGAGUGAUGAAGGCCUUAGGGUUGUAAAGCUCUUUUACCCGAGAUGAUAAUGACAGUAUCGGGAGAAUAAGCUCCGGCUAACUCCGUG
rnacentral:rRNA from 1 species